rnacentral:rRNA from 1 species
CAGGACGAACGCUGGCGGCGUGCCUAACACAUGCAAGUCGAGCGAGGAGAUUCCUUCGGGAUGAUCCUAGCGGCGGACGGGUGAGUAAACACGUGGGCAACCUGCCUCAUAGAGAGGAAUAGCCUUCCGAAAGGGAGAUUAAUACCUCAUAACAUUGCAGUUUCGCAUGGAACAGCAAUUAAAGGAGUAAUCCGCUAUGAGAUGGGCCCGCGGCGCAUUAGCUAGUUGGUGAGGUAACGGCUCACCAAGGCGACGAUGCGUAGCCGACCUGAGAGGGUGAUCGGCCACAUUGGGACUGAGACACGGCCCAGACUCCUACGGGAGGCAGCAGUGGGGAAUAUUGCACAAUGGGGGAAACCCUGAUGCCAGCAACGCCGCGUGAGUGAUGACGGCCUUCGGGUUGUAAAGCUCUGUCUUCAGGGACGAUAAUGACGGUACCUGAGGAGGAAGCCACGGCUAACUACGUGCCAGCCGCCGC